AAACGGAAGAGAUAGAUGGAAUAAAAAAAGAAACAGAUCAUAAGGAAGAGAAAGGGGAGGAGAAAUGGGAUAGAUUGCAUGGGUAUUUUCCCGACUCUCUCCCCUCCCUUCCUCUCCCCUUCUCUCUCCUCCCCCACUCCCCACUCUCCCUCUCUGGAAGCGGAAAAGAUGGAAUAGAGAAAUAAAUGUAGACUCUGAAGGAAAGGCAGGGAUGAAGUCGAUAUGGAGAUGGAAUAGAAUAGGAUCGCGACUUUCCCAACUCUCUCCCUCCUUCAUCCCCUUUCCCAUCCCCCCUUCCUCCCCUACUCAUCACCAACACCAUAACUCCAGCUCUUUUACACAAGGGUACAGAGAGACCCCGAGAGGCAAGGCGGUGAUCACGUAGCUGCGUAGAACCAGUUAUAUUUCCCGUCUGUCUGUCUGUCUGUCCUGCCCGUCUAUAAAUCUAUCUGACGUUCAUUGUAUCGGGCGAUCACCAUAUAAGAGCUACCAUGUCUGUGUUGCGGGGGGUGGGGUUGGGGUAGGCAGUUGGUUUGACAUGCAAUAACUGAUAGGUAGGUAGAUGGAUAGGUUUUAUGACUUGGAAUUAUGUUGUAAAGUGGUUUAGAAUGUAAGUUUUUAUGCCAGAUAGUGAAGAUAGGGGAGGAUAGACUAGCCGAGGAAAAGUAUUAGGGUUCCUGUACGCCGGUUACUUAAAUAUGACAAGUACUUAUAAUCCUCCAAGGAAGUACAAUUGGAGGACCAAGGAACUGAACACCAUAGAUUAUACAGCCUCCCAAAAUACAGUAGCAAGAGAAAGGGAUCGAACACCACAUUCUGUACGGUCCAUGAAAAUACAGUAUACAGGAGGACUUACAGACCGAACACUACAUGCCAUACACCCCCCAAAAUACAAUAACAAGAGUAAAGGAUCGAACACUACCUACCUUACACCCUAUGAAAAUACAACAGCAGGACUAAUGGAUUCGAACACCAUAUUCUAUACAAGCCCAUGAACAUAAACUAUAAGAAGACAAAAAGGAUCGUCCACCACGUAUGCAUUGAUGACCUUUAGAAUUGCAGGAUAUAACUUACGUAAAAAUCAACAGAGGUCACUUUGUUUUGAGGAUGCAGAUAUGAAUUUAGUGAGUGGGCAAAUGUGAAGACUGAUUCAUUCAUUUAUUUAUUUUUUUACAUCAAAGGAUACGGCUCAAGGGCAACAAAAAGUGUACAAAAAAAAAAAAGCCCGCUACUCGCCGCUCCCACAAAAGUAAAUAGUAAAGAGUAGGUUUAGGGUAUCGUAAAACACAUGACUGGCAGCAACUAGAGUAAAGAUAAGCAAAGGAAUAGCUUAUGUUGUUAGAUAGAAAGUCAUGAUUAUAUACGAAGACUGGUUUUGGGUUAGGUUAGGUUUAGAUUAUCUUGAAAGACGUGUCAGACAGCAACAUAGAGAAAUUAUGAACAAAGAGCACAAAUAUUUGGACUUUUUAUGGUUAGGUUAGGUUUAGGAUAUCUUCAAACAUAUGACAGACUAACUUAGAGUAAAAUCAAACUGAAAAAGAGCUCAAAUGUAUAGUAUAGAGUAUUAAUGAACAAAGAGCACACAUAUAUGGACUUUUAUGGUUAGGUUAGGUUUAGGAUAUCUUCAAACAUAGACAGACAAUAACUUAGAGUAAAAACAAACUAAGAAAAAGCUCAAAUGUGUAGUCUGCUUAAUGUUUGGGUUAGAUUUAUGGUAUUUUCGAACUCAUGAUGGGCAACAACUUGGAGUAAGAAUCAACAAGUAGCACAAAUACAGACUUUUAUGGUGUGGGUAAGUUAAGGGUAUCUUCAGAGACAUGACAGGCAGCAACUGAUACCGCAUGGGAAACACUCCACUAUCCACCACAGAAGCACAGAAAGACCUGGGACUAUAGUUAUGUUACCAGGCUACCAGUGAAAGCCAAAUCCGUGCCAAAUACAUAGACUUUAAUGGUUAGGUUAAGUUAAGGGUAUCUUCAAACACAUGACAGGCAGCAGCUGAUGGUGAAAAUAAACAAAGAUCACAAAUACAUGGACUUUAAUGGUUAGGUUAAGUUAAGGGUAUCUUGAAACACAUGACAGGGAGCAGCUGAUAGCGAAAAUAAAGAAAGAGCAAAGAUACAUACACUUUUAUGGUUAUUCUAAGUUUAGGGUAUCUUGAAACGUAUGACAGGCAGCAACAAAGAGGAAAAGUAAACUAAGAAAGAGUUGCCAGGAAGGAAAGUCAGAAGGAAUGAAAGAAAUACUGAAAGAAAGAAAGCUACAAGAAAGGAAAGAAAGAAAAAAAAAGCAACUGUUUGAUUAGUUUAAGUAGCGGGCUUUUUUUCAUUAUUAUUUUUUUUACGUCCUUGAAAUGUCUCCCCUGCUGUAAAAAAAAAAAAAAAAAAGUCCCAUUAUUGAGUGUGCAUAUAUGAAUUUUCUGAGUAUAUCACUUUAAAGACUUCUACGGCUAGGUUAUGUUUAGUAUAUUUAAUUCAAACACAUGAUAGGCAGCACCUUGUUGAAGAAAAUAAACAAAGAACACAAACAUCUAGACUUUUAUGGCUAGGUUAAGUUAAGGGUAUCUCGAGACUCAUGACAGACAGCAUUGUGUAGCAAAAAUCAACAAAGAACGAGCUCUCUGUGUUAAGUAGUCUCAUUAUUGGGGUUGCAGAUACCAACUUUAUGAGAGCGGUGCUGCGGCCGUGUUUAUUAUUUGCCUUCGCUCUGGGCUCGUUAAGGAAAACAAACACGUGGAAUUUAACACAACACAACGCAUCGCAUACAAACCAGCGGCUGGGCUCCCUCUUACGCAAUGGAACAAGUCGGAUGGAAACCUCAGACGCAACUUUCACUGGAGUCGCCAAACUUACUAACCUAACCUAAGCCCGCCGCGUCCUCGUCCUCAGCUGUUGUUGGCGGGGACCAUAAACAGAAAACGUGUGUGCAUAAAAAGAUAGGUAUAAAAACAAAGAAAGACAAAAGUAUGGAGGAUAAGAAUUAUAAUACAGGGAAAUAGAGAGACGUACAGGAAAGUUCAAAAUCUAGGACCGAAAAUGGAGACGUAUAGAUAUGAAAACAAAGGAAGACAAAAAUAUAGAAGAUAAGAAUUAUAAUACUGGGAAAUGGAGAGGUCAAAGGUCAAAAUCUAGGACCGAAAAUGGAGACGUGGGUUUGUGGAUGAAGAGAGACAUAUCCUCCAACUUUUCGCCUCUUACAACACUCACAUUUGACAAGGAUUUCGUUCGAGUUUGGGGCAUUUCCAGAGGUACUUUUAUGACCCUUUUGAUAGUAUGACCCUUAAGACACGUUUCGCCUCUUACAACACUCACAUUUGACAAGGAUUUCGUGUGAGUUUGGGGCAUUUCCAGAGGUACUUUCAUGACCCUGGUGGUAGUAUGACCCUU